GCAGCCCGGAACCGGCCUCGGAACAGUGGCGGGACCUGAGGACUCUAGCCCUCCCGCCCCAUGGAGCGGCCCCCGGGGCUGCGGCCGGGCGCGGGCGGGCCCUGGGAGAUGCGGGAGCGGCUGGGCACCGGCGGCUUCGGGAAUGUUUCCCUGUACCAACAUCGGGAACUUGAUCUCAAAAUAGCAAUUAAGUCUUGUCGCUUGGAGCUAAGCACCAAAAACAGAGAACGGUGGUGCCAUGAAAUCCAGAUCAUGAAGAAGUUGAACCACGCCAAUGUUGUAAAAGCCUGUGAUGUUCCUGAGGAAUUGAAUUUUUUGAUUAAUGAUGUGCCUCUUCUAGCAAUGGAAUAUUGUUCUGGAGGAGAUCUCCGGAAGCUACUCAACAAACCAGAAAAUUGCUGUGGACUUAAAGAAAGCCAGAUACUUUCUUUACUGAGUGAUAUAGGAUCUGGGAUACGAUAUUUGCAUGAAAACAAAAUUAUACAUCGUGAUCUAAAACCUGAAAACAUAGUUCUUCAGGAUGUUGGUGGAAAGAUUAUGCAUAAAAUAAUUGAUUUAGGAUAUGCCAAAGAUGUUGAUCAAGGAAGUCUGUGUACAUCUUUUGUGGGAACAUUGCAAUAUCUGGCCCCAGAGCUCUUUGAGAAUAAGCCUUACACAGCCACUGUUGAUUAUUGGAGCUUUGGGACCAUGGUGUUUGAGUGUAUUGCUGGGUAUAGGCCUUUUUUGCAUCAUCUGCAGCCAUUUACCUGGCAUGAGAAGAUUAAGAAGAAGGAUCCAAAGUGUAUAUUUGCAUGCGAAGAGAUGACAGGAGAAGUUCGGUUUAGUAGCCAUUUACCUCAACCAAAUAGCCUUUGUAGUUUAAUAGUAGAACCCAUGGAAAACUGGCUACAGUUGAUGCUAAACUGGGAUCCUCAGCAGAGAGGAGGACCUAUUGAUCUUACUUUGAAGCAGCCAAGAUGUUUUGUAUUAAUGGAUCACAUUCUGAAUUUGAAGAUAGUACACAUCCUAAAUAUGACUUCUGCAAAGAUCAUUUCUUUUCUGUUACCACCUGAUGAAAGUCUUCAUUCACUACAGUCUCGUAUUGAGCGUGAAACUGGAAUAAAUACUUGUUCUCAAGAGCUUCUUUCAGAGACGGGAAUUUCUUUGGAUCCUCGGAAACCAGCCUCUCAGUGUGUUUUGGAUGGAGUUAGGGGCUGUGAUAGCUAUAUGGUUUAUUUGUUUGAUAAAAGUAAGACUGUAUAUGAAGGACCAUUUGCUUCCAGAAGUUUAUCUGACUGUGUAAAUUAUAUUGUACAGGACAGCAAAAUACAGCUUCCAAUUAUACAGCUGCGUAAAGUAUGGGCCGAAGCAGUGCACUAUGUGUCUGGGCUAAAAGAAGACUACAGCAGGCUCUUUCAGGGACAGAGAGCAGCAAUGUUAAGUCUUCUUAGAUAUAAUGCUAACUUGACAAAAAUGAAGAACACUUUAAUCUCAGCAUCUCAGCAACUGAAAGCUAAAUUGGAGUUUUUUCACAAAAGCAUUCAGCUUGACUUGGAAAGAUACAGUGAGCAGAUGACUUAUGGGAUAUCCUCAGAAAAAAUGUUAAAAGCAUGGAAAGAAAUGGAAGAAAAGGCUAUCCACUAUGCUGAGGUGGGUGUCAUUGGAUACCUGGAGGAUCAGAUCAUGUCCCUGCACACUGAAAUCAUGGAGCUACAGAAGAGCCCCUAUGGACGACGUCAGGGAGACUUGAUGGAAUCUCUGGAACAGCGUGCCAUUGAUCUAUAUAAGCAGUUAAAGCACAGACCUUCAGAUCACUCCUACAGCGACAGCACGGAGAUGGUGAAAAUCAUUGUGCAUACUGUGCAGAGUCAGGAUCGGGUUCUCAAGGAGCUGUUCGGUCAUUUGAGCAAGUUGUUGGGCUGUAAGCAGAAGAUUAUUGAUCUACUGCCCAAGGUGGAAAUGGCCCUCAGUAACAUCAAAGAAGCUGACAAUACUGUCAUGUUUAUGCAGGGAAAGAGGCAGAAAGAAAUAUGGCAUCUCCUUAAAAUUGCCUGUACACAGAGCUCUGCUCGGUCCCUUGUAGGAUCCAGUCUAGAAGGUGUAACCCCUCAGGCAUCAGCAUGGCUGCCCACAACUUCAGCAGAACGUGAACAUCCUCUGUCAUGCGUGGUAACUCCUCAAGAUGGCAUAAGAUGUGCCGUAUCCAGAGCCAUUGGCUCUUUGCUAGCUUGUGUAUUGUCACUUUUCUCACAACUCAUGGAGACCUCUACAAUACCAGCAUUUCCUGGAAGCUCUGCCCAUAAUUAGUUUUGCAGAGGUGCAGCCAUGUAACAUCACUGCUCAGGAGGUCAUGCAGUUGCACAUUCUGUACUCUGCUUUUAUGAGAGAAAAGCACAUGGCAGGAAGGCAAGCUGAUACCAGGUAUUUUAUCUUCUUAAAGAAAGCAAGCUCCAGGGUAUAUCUCGGGGCCAUUAUACAUUUGGCCCAAUGUAAUACAUCCACAGCUACAGCAUAGGCUAUAAUUAAUUAUAUGGACUUGAGGAAAUAUUCCAUUAAUCAGAAUUGACACAAAUAAAAUUUAAUACCUUUUUGCUUUCAUUAAAGGCAUGUAGGUUUAUUAGGGGAUGCAAAUGGUUGCAAAUGUUACCUCUGUACAAGUGAUUUUCAGUGUGAGGUUGUGGUUGUUUGCAAAAGUAUAUUCAACAGGAAUUUUUAAAUACAUUUUCCAGUAGGAAUACAUUAUAAAGGAAAACUUCAAAUGUACCCGCGGUACUUAACCACCAAGGAUUGGGAACUGUUGGCCUCAGUUUUUCUAUCUGUUGAAUAAGCUGAAUGAGAAUUUAGUUCUAAGCUAAUAAUGACUAUCUUCCAUGGCUUAGAACUGAUUCUAGUCGGGUAGGGACUGAGGGUUAGUAAAAGGUAAGGAUGGAGGCCAUAUGGAAGAGGGAAGUGUAGAAGGUGGAAACCAAAUUCAGGAUUUCCUUCAAAUACAAACUUCAGGGAUACUUCUUGGUUCUGGGCAGCUCCCCUGUCACAGGUUUCUUCUGCUGUCCUCAGGAAUCAGCUUGCUUGUUUGCUUUCUCAUUGCUGUCAUCUGUAUUUUCCAAACAGUUUUUUUCACCUUCCCUGAUAUUUGCAGAAAAGAUUGUACUUUUGUAUCUCCUCCCCUACAUGUGUAUCUCUGAAGUAAGCAUGCUGAUGUUUUUUACUACUUAUAAGGAAAGGGAAAUGUUUCAGAAACAAAGAGAUCUUUCAUCUAGCUGUGCCACAGGAUCUCUCUUUUUUUCCCCCCAGUGAGCAUUUUCAGGGGGAAAAAGUUGUAUAUAAGUGCCACUUAUAUUUCAGAGGAAAAUCAGAUUGCAGUUAUAGUGGACUCACUAUUAUUAGAGCUGGGCAGAGGCAGCAGCUUGGAGUAACAGGACUCUUGCCUGUGGGUGGGAGGGAUGAGGAAACUGAAGACUACAGGAAUCAGCUGCAUUGGGUUGCAGGGUUGCAGUGUUGUCUGAAGGGCAGAAUCAUCCUGACCCUGAAGACCAGAAAAUAGAGGAAAUUCGUAUGCCUCUUUGCUUUCAUUCCACAGGGAGACUUUAGCACAAAUAAUAGAAGAAAAUUUGAACUGUCUUGGCCAUUUAAGCACUAUUAUGCAUGAAGCAAAUGAGAAACAGGGCAACAGUAUGAUGAAUCUUGAUUGGAGUUGGUUAACAGAAUGACUUGCCACUUACUGACCCAAACGUAUGAAGUUGUUGCUGCAAAUGUUGGAAAUUUGUUUUUCUCUUAUGAAACCAUUCUUCAGACACCCAUCAAUGGAAGAAAUGACUAUGAUCAGAAACUACACAUGAUUUCACAGUGCAAUAUUUUGACUGGGUAAUUUUAACCUCUGAACAGAUAGAAUUUAAUGACUCAGUGGACUUGUUUAAAUACUACAGCUACUUAGGAGCAUCGUUGGAAUCCAUUUGUCUUCAAACUUGAUAAAACAUUACUUAUUUAACUUGACUAUCUUUCAACAUUUCACUUUUGGGCAUAAGGCCAAAGUAAUGUAUACAGAGAAGAAAAUCUCAACUAACAUGUAUUCUAAGUAAAAAUUGUUUGCCUGUGUUUCUGUGGAAGAGACUGUUUGCAAGUAGAAUUGUACUUCUUGAAGAAUAAACCCUACCUCCUUGUGUUGCACUCAACAGUGCUUUUCCCGGCAUCAUAAGGAGUUAGUUUAAUCCCAUUUUCAAUUUCAAUCCCAAAUGCACAUUUGACUGUAUCCCUUUCCUACAGAAGGGAUUGUGCAUCUGUGCCUUUAAUACCAGUUGAUUCUUUCAAAUCUUGUUAAGUGUGCUAUGUGUAUAUGUAUUUAAGAUGUACAUUUAAUAAUAUCAGAGAAAAGAUGCCUGUUAAUUUAUAAUGUAUUUGAAAGCUUAUCUAUGUUUUCAUUUGUAUAAAUGGGUCUUUUGUUUAAGGAAUCUUUCAUGUCUUGUCAUAUAAAUUUAUAAAGGUCUGUACUCCCGAUCUGUAAUUCCAAAAUGCAAAAAGCUCUGAUAACAAGGUUUUUCAUAAGUUUGGUGACAGAAUUCACCUGCUUGCACAUCCAACAUGAACUGACAUUGAAUCUAUCCCAUUUAGUGUGAAUAUUCUUUUUUUUUUUUUUUUUUGCUGUAGAAAUAUUAAUGUGUUUGCUUGUUUGGGGGUAGGGUGCUGCCACAGACCCUGCCUGGGGUUUAUGUAGUAUGGCAUAUGCACUGAAUUACCUUUCUAAAAAUCUGAAAAUUUCAUAAUUCUGAAACACCUGGCCCCAAGGGUUUCAGAUAAAGGAUUGUGGGUCUAUCAUCUGUUAAAUAAUUUAGAAGGUGUUACUUGUUUAAAGAAAAAUGUGAAAUUCUUUUGUAUUUUAGACAGUUUUUCACUUUGUGUAUUAAAUAAUUUUUAAAUUAC